UUAUUAUUUGGACAACUUGAAGACCAGUGGUCAGCAUAAGUUCCACCAUAAAAACAUUAAUGUGAUCACGAAUCUCGCAAACUUGGUUCUCAACGUAAGUUGCAUAAAAUCCAAAAUCGUCAAACUAUCUUCUUCUUCUUCUUCUUCUUCUUCUGUUUGGCACUUCGCCUGUUGGGCUCUUGUCAUCCUCGUCGAUUUCUUGUUUCACUGGUUGGGCCAGAUCAGGGCUCCGGCUCUCGUCGUCUACAACAAUACCCUGCGUCUGUUUCUGCUUCGAGUUUUGAAAUUGGAUUUUGGUUUCGAGUGGGGAUGGGUUUUGCUGAUGGGUCUCUUUGGAUCUUGGAAAUUUUUAAACUUUAUGACUCCUUAUGGUAUUGGGUUUGUUUUUCUUCAACUAUUUCAGAUUCCUGAUACUGGGUUCUGGAAAAAUGUUCCUUUCAAGUUCGUCUUUUUUUCCCUUUGGGGAGACAGUAGAGUGAGGUUUAGCAGGAGUCAUUGUUAAACAGGCAUUACCGUGGAUAAAUCAGUGGAGUUCUCUUUCGAAGAACUUUCCAGGGCUACUGAUAACUUCAGUCUGGCUAAUAAGAAUGGACAAGAUGGUUUUGGGGCUGUUAACCAUGCCAGGCUGAGAGGCGAGAAAGCUGCAAUCAAGAAGAUGGAAAUGCACGCAUUAAACAUUUUGACCCGAGUACAUCACUUGAAUCUGAUUCUGUAUUAUAGAGGGCCCUGAAACAGUGCAAGACUUUGCCAAAAUGGAAUAACACGAGAUUCUUGAUAAUCGUUGCAACAAAAUUUUCUUGCAUAUGGAAGAGGUGGGCAAGUUGUACCACAAUCUGAGUAUAAUUUCUCUAGGUUCACAGGCUGAGGAUACAACAGAGGAUUAAAAUGCAGAGCUCGGGAUGUUAACCAAAGAGCAAGAAAAUGAACUUUUAAACUUUCCAUUAUUCAUUCCAUUGUUGCCUCCCUUGGCUUCAGCAAACCUUAAGCAGUAUUACGCUGUUUGUUUUUCUCUUAUUGCGGGAAUCAUCCUUUUUGGAGUUCUCCUAGUACCCGCUGCAAAUGCACUAUAUGAAGAUAUGCUUGAGCGGAUCAGCGGUUUGCAAAAACUUAACAGGUAGCAAGUAGAUGGUGUGUUCCGCCAAAGUGAAGAAGGUGCUGAGUACUUCGUGGAGUCAACCAAUCCCUCCACAUGCAAGAACAAGAUCAAUGCCCAUGGCAGUGGCUGUGCUUCCAUAUUAUUCGAGUACAAUACAGGCAAAUUGAUUUUUUGGCGGACAUGAUGGGACAAUCGAAAUGUGGGAUACAAGCACAGUGGAUUUGAAUAAUAUGCUUCAUGGUUGCAUUGGUUCUGUUCUUGACAUUACCAUUACCUAUGAUAAUAGAUCUAUUAUUGCAGCCAGCAGUUCGAACAAAUUGUAUGUCUGGGAUGCUAACUUGGGGAGAGUGUGCUAUACUCUCACUGGCCACAUGGAUAAAUUGUAUGCUGUAGAUGUAAGUUCUCAAGUUGUCGCAUUGUGAGUGCAGCCUAUGAUUGUACUAUUAAAGUUUGAGAUUUGCAGAAAGGUUACUGCACCAACACAAUAAUCUUCCCCAAACACUGCAGUGCUUUCUGCUUCAGCAUGGACGGACAGACCAUAUGCUCUAGUCAUGUUGACGGAAAUCUUCGGCUUUGGGAUAUUCAAAAAGGAAAGCUACUCAAUGAAGUGGCUGCACACUCAAAUGCCGUCACAUCUAUAUCUUUGCCGCAGAGUGGCAACAUGGUAUUGACCGGUGGGAGGGACAAUGUGCAUCACCUUUUCGAUAUGAGAUUCCCAGGAGUUUCUGGCACAUUGAGAGCCACCGGAAACAGAGU